GGGCCGUUGGAGCAAGCUGGCAGCUCACCUGGUUCUCAGCCAGGAGGUUACGGGUUCGAGCCCCGUACGGCCUG
rnacentral:tRNA from 1 species